UACGUAGGGGGCAAGCGUUGUCCGGAUUCAUUGGGCGUAAAGAGCGUGUAGGCGGCCAGGUAGGUCGGUUGUGAAAACUGGAGGCUCAACCUUCAGAGGUCGACCGAAACCAUCUGGCUAGAGUCCGGGAGAGGAGAGUGGAAUUCCUGGUGUAGCGGUGAAAUGCGCAGAUAUCAGGAAGAACACCCGUGGCGAAAGCGGCUCUCUGGAACGGUACUGACGCUGAGGCGCGAAAGCCAGGGGAGCAAACGGG
rnacentral:rRNA from 1 species